CUUGACCAACUGUCACUCAUCCUAGUGGUCCCUAAGCAUAAAGUUCAAAAAGUGAAACUGCUGAGCAAAUGGCCUAUAAAAUUAUCUGUCGCCAGAUCGACCUUAGGAGACACUAUCCAUUUACACCUUAACUAAAACUUAUAAGAAAGUCCAAAAUCGACUGUCUUUCACUGAUCUGCUUCUAAUUUUGUUAGAAGGAACCAUCCACCAAGAGAGGGAAGUGGAAAUGAGACGUUCUGUACUAAUUUCUUGGCGCUCUAGCCGCGUGGAACGCCAAGGAAUCAGGUGCGGCGCACUUCCUGGCAGCGAUUCGCGCUCGGGGCACCAGGGCCUUGAACCGCAAUCGCCCCACGUGCCAGUCGGCUUCCCUCCCGGCUCCGCCAAGAUAACCUAUCCAGAGCACCUUUUGCGUAAAUAAAUAAACAAACAAUACGAAGCCCAGAAUGGGAGCGCCGAGCCUCCUGCUCGUGAGCUGGAGGUCAGAGCCGGCCCUCUCAGGUCCAGCAUUGCUAAGACCGAUCCCGUCAGCCUGCCGCAUUCCGUGCUUCCCCAAACUCGGUGAGGACCAGGCGACAAGCAAUGACACCCCGGGACUGGAAAUGUAUGGGACGCCGGGGAUGCAGAAGCCCUCGCCGCUCCGCUUUGGCCCGCUCCUGCGGCUCGGGGCCCAGAGUCCACAGUUCAGCGCCGGCGGACACUGGGCAUCUAAUACUGCUUUCCAAAGGCAGACUCACGCGCCCGCUAUGUGGCUUGAGAAGACUCCCGGUCGCCUAAAGCAGCCAGCAGGUCCCAUGGUGUAAUGGUUAGCACUCUGGACUUUGAAUCCAGCGAUCCGAGUUCAAAUCUCGGUGGGACCUCACCAAACCUUUUGGUUCUACAAUUCCUAUUUUGGAGGCCUCCGGCGGCAGUGGCUAUCUCGUGCUGUGCCUUCUCACCAGUGACCUAUCGGACCGUGGUUUAGGCUCCCUCGGUCUUUCUCAGGAUGCGUUCUUUUCAGGGUCGGCUUGAAGGUUGCCGCACGCAUGCGCAAGAGCCCGGGCGGAAAAGUAAGCGUGUCUGUGGUACUCGGAGCGGGGCUUUACCCCGUAAGGACUGCCAAAAGCGCCCGGAGGGUCUCCAGCAUCCUGCUUCCGGCGGGGAGCGGCAGCAGGCUUCGGGUCUAGGAGACGCCCCCUGCCCGCGCAAGCUGCCUGGAAUCCUUCUUCCCAUUGGCUGACGUGCCAAACAUUCUGCUCUGAUAGCUGGGAACUAAAUGGCCCGCGCGAGCCGAGGGUGAGGGAAUAAUCGGCGUGUGUUUGGGGAUCGCUCCGCCCGGAAGGUGACUGGCACUGUGAUUCUGUGGUCCCGCGCCUUGGGAGAAUGCCAUGGAAACAGAAUACUCGCUCUGCUCUUCUGUCAUCCUGAGCACCCUUCCUCCCCAACCCACCCCACACACUGCUUAAACAUUUGAAUGGAUUUGUGUGUAUGGGCGAUCCCAGCUUCAAAAAUACCUAGGCAUGCGAGGUGGGAGGAUCUGCACUAUCAAAUAUUAAAGUUUAUUAUCAACUCUUAAGCUGUAGGAAUUAAGACUGUGGUACUAGGGCAGAGAAAGACAUACGAGUAGGAGAGAAUAGAGAGCCCAGAUACAGAUGCGAACGUACUUGGACAGUGAUCUAUGAUAAAUAUAGUACAACAGAGCGCUGGGAAAAGGGCCUUUUUUCAAUAAAUUAUUCUGGGGUCAUUGAGUGUCCAUAUGGAAAAAUAUGAAAUCAAAUUCCUCCCAGUUUACAAUAACACAGCAAUACAUUCUAGAUGAAUUAUAGACUUUAAUGUGGAAAAAAAGCAAUAAAAGUUUUGGAAUACAACGCAGGGGAAUAUCUUCAUGACCUCAGGGUAGAGAAAGUCUUCUUAAGACACAAAAGAUUCUAAAAUCUUGAUAUAUGUCACCAUAUUAAUAUGAUAUUCUAUGUUCUUAUCAAAAGACCCCAAUAAGGAAGUGAAAAAUUAAGCCAUAGAAAAGGAAAAUAUAUUUGUAAUGCAUAACUGACAAUUUGUAUCUAGAGUAUAUUAAAAACUCCUAAAAUUCAAUAAGAAAAAAAGAAACCUAAUGGAAAAUUACAAAGACUUGAACUGGCACUUCAUUAAAAAAAAAAAAAAGAAAUCCAAAA